CCCACAUUUACGUCUACAGCUCUGACCUCUUCUCUGAACUCCAGACUUGUGUGCAGCCAUCUCUCCUACACCUCUACUUACUUUCCUCCUGGUAUCUCAAAC